rnacentral:rRNA from 1 species
CCUACGGGUGGCUGCAGUGGGGAAUAUUGGACAAUGGGGGGAACCCUGAUCCAGCCAUGCCGCGUGUGUGAAGAAGGCCCUCGGGUUGUAAAGCACUUUCAGUGAGGAAGAACGCCUGGUGGUUAAUACCCAUCAGGAAAGACAUCACUCACAGAAGAAGCACCGGCUAACUCCGUGCCAGCAGCCGCGGUAAUAUGGAGGGUGCGAGCGUUAAUCGGAAUUACUGGGCGUAAAGCGCGCGUAGGUGGCUUGAUAAGCCGGUUGUGAAAGCCCCGGGCUCAACCUGGGAACGGCAUCCGGAACUGUCAAGCUAGAGUGCAGGAGAGGAAGGUAGAAUUCCCGGUGUAGCGGUGAAAUGCGUAGAGAUCGGGAGGAAUACCAGUGGCGAAGGCGGCCUUCUGGACUGACACUGACACUGAGGUGCGAAAGCGUGGGUAGCAAACAGGAUUAGAUACCCUAGUAGUC